rnacentral:rRNA from 1 species
AGGCAGCAGUGGGGAAUAUUGCACAAUGGGCGCAGGCCUGAUGCAGCGACGCCGCGUGAGGGAUGACGGCCUUCGGGUUGUAAACCUCUUUCAGCAGGGGAGAAGCCUUUCGGGGUGACGGUACCUGCAGAAGAAGCACCGGCUAACUACGUGCCAGCAGCCGCGGUAAUACGUAGGGUGCGAGCGUUGUCCGGAAUUAUUGGGCGUAAAGAGCUUGUAGGCGGUUUGUCGCGUCUGCUGUGAAAAUCCGGGGCUCAACCCCGGACUUGCAGUGGGUACGGGCAGACUAGAGUGUGGUAGGGGAGACUGGAAUUCCUGGUGUAGCGGUGGAAUGCGCGGAUAUCAGGAGGAACACCGAUGGCGAAGGCAGGUCUCUGGGCCAUUACUGACGCUGAGAAGCGAAAGCAUGGGGAGCAAACAGGAUUAGAUACCCUGGUAG